GGCGCAGCAGGCGCGAAAACUUUACAAUGCGGGAAACCGCGAUAAGGGGACACCGAGUGCCAGCAUUUAUGUUGGCUGUCCACAUGUGUAAACGGCAUGUGUUAGCAAGGGCCGGGCAAGACCGGUGCCAGCCGCCGCGGUAACACCGGCGGCCCGAGUGGUAAUCACUUUUAUUGGGUCUAAAGGGUCCGUAGCCGGUUUGAUCAGUUCUUCGGGAAAUCUGACAGCUCAACUGUUAGGCUUCCGGGGAAUACUGUCAGACUUGGGACCGGGAGAGGUAAGAGGUACUACAGGGGUAGGAGUGAAAUCUUGUAAUCCCUGUGGGACCACCAGUGGCGAAGGCGUCUUACCAGAACGGGUCCGACGGUGAGGGACGAAAGCUGGGGGCACGAACCGGAUUAGAUACCCGGGUAGUCCCAGCCGUAAACGAUGUUCGCUAGGUGUCAGGGGCGGUGCGACCGCUUCUGGUGCCGUAGGGAAGCCGUGAAGCGAACCACCUGGGAAGUACGCCGCAAGGC
rnacentral:rRNA from 1 species